GAGGGGAGAGCCGAGACCACGAGUGGCGGCUUAGUACAGGGUCACCUAGCCCCUCAGGUCUUCCAACUCCUCAAUUCUCAGCCCCCUUCGAAGCUGUAGUUCCGGGUUGGGACAGGACCCUGGACCAAGAAGGGAAAGAAAAACAAAACGCAACACCACACAACAACACCACACAAGAGCCUCUGAGAUGCUCCUUCCUUCCUUACUGCAUUAACCAGCUAUCGACCUGGUUGUGUCCGAUUGCGAUGAUGGGCUGAGAGAAAGAACACCGGAAGAGCCAGGCUGUUCUCAGGAAGGACUCACGCCGGCCACGGGGCCGCCCCUGGCCCAGAGGGUGAACCUCUAGACCCAGGCAUGAACCUAAGAACCUCGCUUAAUUAGAUUCCUCCAGGCAUCCCAGGCCUGGAGUAGAAACAGCUACCAGUUACCCCGUGACCAACUGGGAAGAGCUUUGGUCUGGCCCUGAAAUCAGCAACCCACGCCGGGACCCAGUAUCCCAAGCGACUGGAGUCACUGCAUGGCUCUGAUUCCUCAACAAGACCAGGCCAUGCACAAAGCGCUCGCCGCGGACGCUCUGUGGUCUGGGAUCAGGGCGCCAGGAGCAUACAGAAAAGGUGUACGCCGAGGACACGUGGCGCACGAAGCUGUGCGCGCUGGAGGACAACUACAAGGGGUGCCCUAUGUGUAGCCAGAGGCCCACCAGCUUCGGGGUCGGACACUCCGAACCACCAGCCCCCAUCUCUUCCCUCCCCUGGUCCAGCUCCCCGAUGUGCCCGUGCCCCCCGUCGUUGGGAGCUUCUGCAGCUGUGUCUCCCAGCUCGGACAGAGUUCACUCCUUUCCUCCCAAGGCUCAGAGUCCCCCAGAGGCGGUGCGGGCUGGCUAUCCUUCAGCUUCUUGCAGAGGCUGCUGCGUACGCUCCCCCCCCCCCCAGCUGGGGUUACAGGUUAAUGAAACGCUCGUUUUCCUCAGUCAUUUGUUUUGUUUUCCUGCAAAGUUCUGAUAAGUAGCUAACCAACGAAGCUUGUAAUUACAAUCUUACAGAAACCGGGCCGAUCUGUAUAUAAAUCUCACCAUCCAAUUACAAGAUGUAAUAAUUUUGCACUCAAGCUGGUAAUGAGGUCUAAUACUCGCGCAUGCGAUAAUCCCCUCUGGAUGCUGGCUUGAUCAGAUGUUGGCUUUGUAAUUAGACGGGCAGAAAAUCAUUAUUUCAUGUUCAAAUAGAAAAUGAGGUUGGUGGGAAGUUAAUUUCUCUCCGCUCUGUGAAGCGUAGACAAGAAUUUAAUGAUUUAAUUACAGUUGUAAGCCCUUUCCAUGA
rnacentral:lncRNA from 1 species